CGCGGGGUGGAGCAGUUCGGUAGCUCGUCGGGCUCAUAACCCGAAGGUCGUUGGUUCAAAUCCAGCCCCCGCAA
rnacentral:tRNA from 3 species